GUACAUGAAAAGUGCUUGGAACAAUGGAGAGUACAUAAUAAGCCUUCUAGAAAUCCUAGCUACUAUUUUCAGGGGGUGAGCAGGAUUGAGUAGGGGAAAUGGGAAGAAUGAUGAAAAACUGAAGAUGCGAGUACAUUUGAUACCAAAUUGAUGCUGAAUAUCUUGGCAGGUCCUGUGAAUCAUCAUGCUUUUAUGACCAUCGCUUCCCACUCUAUGCCCUGAGGUCACAGGGGUAGAACAGCUUAUAAUGACUCUCUACUAAUUCUGUGGCAGAGAAAAUAGGAAAACUCUGAGUGAGGAGACGCCUCUCUGCAGUGUCGGAAGUGAAAAAUCCUUAUCAAUUUUUCAGGGUGUAGUUCUAAGAGAAAGAGGACAUCAUCCUUUCUCACUUGAUGCCCACAGUUUUUCUCUCCUGGCAGCAGCCAUAGCUCCAGGUGGAAAAGGCAACCUACUCAUUGAGGAAGUUCUAACCUCUGCAGUCCGGGCUCCCUGGAAGAGCCAUCAUUUCUUCAUUCGACCCACCCUUCACAGCCCCUGCAGACUCAGUGAACUACCUCAUUUAACAUCUGCCUCCCUGCUCAAUAGUUCCCUGUAACCAGUGCCCAUCAAGCAAAACCACUGCCCACUUCAAACAGAAAUGCCACUUCUUUGGUUCUACUUCUGGGGUUUCAAACUUGGAGCUAAGUUGAAAAUCUGUGUCUUUGACAGGCAUCCCGGGAGGGAGUCUAAUGAUCAGCUAAUUGUGAGAAUCAAAACUACUCAUUUGGCAUUUGGCAUAUCCAGUUUCAGCUGUUAUUGAGACUUCCUUAUCUGGGAUCACCCUUGCCUUAACUGAAUUACAUUUUUAAAAUAUAAAAACUAUGGAAAGUUUUUUUUUUAAGACUUUAUUUAUUUAUUCAUGAGAGACACACAGAGAGAGGGGCAGAGACAUAGGCAGAGGGAGAAGCAGGCUUCCUGUAGGGAGCUUGAUGCAGGACUGGAUCCCAUGAUCCCAGGAUCAUGACCUGAGCCAAAGGCGGAUGCUCAACCACUGAGCCACCCAGGUGCCCCAUAUGGAAAGUUGUUUUAAUGCUCUUUUUCAUCUCUG
rnacentral:lncRNA from 1 species